rnacentral:rRNA from 1 species
AUUGAACGCUGGCGGCAGGCCUAACACAUGCAAGUCGAACGAGUGGCGGACGGGUGAGUAAUGUCUGGGAAACUGCCCGAUGGAGGGGGAUACAUACUGGAAACGGUAGCUAAUACCGCAUACCAUCGGAUGUGCCCAGAGGGGCGUAGCUUGUAGGUGGGGUAACGGCUCACCUAGGCGACGAUCCAUAGCUGGUCUGAGAGGAGUACCAGCCAACCUGGAACGUAGACACGGUCCAGACUCCUACGGGAGGCAGCAGUGGGUAAUAUUGCACAAUGGGCGCAAGCCUGAUGCAGCCAUGCCGCGGGUAUGAAGAAGGCCUUCGGGUUGUAAAGUACUUUCAGCGAGGAGGCGUUACUCGCAGAAGAAGCACCGGCUAACUCCGUGCCAGCAGCCGCGGUAAUAC